GGUUUGGAGUUCGAAAUACUCACAUUCUCAAAUACCCGGAUUAUCUGUAGCAGGCGGAAAAUUUUUCUCUGCAUUGUUAUUUCUGUUUUUAGUGUUUUCAUAUUUCUGAAUAGCCCUGCAAUUGUAAAACAACCAAAGGUCUGGUAGAUAGUUGUCAGCAAUAUGCCACGGGUUAAAUGUCAAACAGAAAUAUGUAAGAUACAGGAUUGUUUGAAGGUCAAUGACUACCAAGAAAGCAAGUGUAGAGAAGUGCUGGAGGAAGCCAUCAAGUGCUGUAAACUGUGCCAGUUUGAUAGUCCUGUCUGUUCAGGGUUCACACACUAUAAUACUGACACCUCCAAAGAUAAUGUAGUAUCACUGGACAAAAGUGAUUUUAGAUUAUAUAAAGAAGACCAGGACAAAAAAGUUGACUCAGACUCAAAAGAAAAUAGAAAAGAUGCCGGGAAAAACAAGGAUGAAAAAGCCUGGAAGUUAUUUUUGUGAUUUUUAUCUGAACAUUGUGAAACUAGAUGUUUUUUAACGCUAACCCUAAGGGACAGACACGGCAUAGAAUGAAGGGCAGUACUGUUUGCAGUCUUACUUUCUUUCUAAUGCAUCUUGUACUCCAGCUCAAGACAUUACACAAAAAGACAUGGAAGUUGUAGAGUACAACUAAGUCACCUAAUGUAUGGUUCAAACUUUCUUUAAGCCUACAGCACAGUAGUAACGUUCAUUACAUUCAGGGAAUCUGACGUUGGUGACGACAACUGAAAUUUUUGCUUUUUAAUGAUUUUAUAUCAAAUGAUUAUAUAAUGAUCAAUAUCCCCAACAGACAUACCAGUAGAGAAGUCACUUCAGUUUAUUUGAAGAAGUCAACUGCAAAAGAAGAGCAUGAGAAGUGAAGAUUGUACCAUAUUUCAUGGUUGGACACAGACGAGGAUGAGCCAAAAUGAUGAAAUUGUAUGCAUGAACACUCCUGUUCACUUAAACGAUGCAAUUGUUCUAUUACAAGCAUUCAUGGACUGAGUUUUACCUAAAUUGAGUCUGUGAUAUUUUGUUUUGGAUAUACUGGAUAGUUUAUAAACUACAAAAAAUGACUUUACAUUUGUAUUUGUGGUUUGUGAAGACAAUAACCUUUAUUUUAUCUACUUUAUUUUCUGUUUACAUUGUAAAAGCAUGCUGUAAACGUGCAACUGUAGGGGUUAAAGCAGGUGCUCUAUGGACUUUUGUGAAAUUAACAGUAACAAAUAAAAAAAAAUCAUUCACCUUUUUUAAUAUUAAAUAAUGUUGUUGGAUCCAAUAGCACUAGAGAAGAGAAGUAUGUUGGAUCCAGCUGCAUAAUCUUGGAUCUCAUGGCUAAUGAUUGAAAUAAAAUGACCUUGAAUAUUA